rnacentral:rRNA from 1 species
UGGGGAAUAUUGGGCAAUGGACGCAAGUCUGACCCAGCAACGCCGCGUGAAGGAAGAAGGCUUUCGGGUUGUAAACUUCUUUUAAGGGGGAACAGUAGAAGAGGGUACCCCUUGAAUAAGCCACGGCUAACUACGUGCCAGCAGCCGCGGUAAUACGUAGGUGGCAAGCGUUGUCCGGAUUUACUGGGUGUAAAGGGCGUGUAGGCGGAGGAGCAAGUCAGAUGUGAAAUCCCGGGGCUUAACCCGGAACUGCAUUUGAAACUGUUUCCCUUGAGUAUCGGAGAGGCAAGCGGAAUUCCUAGUGUAGCGGUGAAAUGCGUAGAUAUUAGGAGGAACACCAGUGGCGAAGGCGGCUUGCUGGACGACAACUGACGCUGAGGCGCGAAAGCGUGGGGAGCAAACAGGAUUAGA